UAGGAUGAGAGACGUUGAGCUCCAAACUCAGACUAAGAAACUAUAAGAAAUAUGCUUCAAUGAAGAAGCUGUUCAAAAAUGAGUAAGAUUGUUUCCUUGAGGCAAGAAAGAAAUGCAGAAGUCUUGACAAACAAAAGAAGAGAUUGCCUUAGGGAAGGGGACUACAGUGAACACUGAGAACUUCUUCCCACGCUAAGACAAUCUUUACAGAGCAAGACUCCGUCUCAAAAAAAAAAAAAAAAGUGGAGACCUAUUCUGUUGGGUUAGAGAUGACAGAAAAUCUUAUUUGUCGGUUGGUUUGUUUGUUCAAGAAUACACUGACCUUCUACAAGAAAGGAGAGCUCUUUGACACCUGGAAAGAAGCUUGGGACAGCUCUGAAUGGCAACACGGUCCUGAGAUAUGUGAUUACCUGGGACUUUCAUUGGACCUGCAUUUCAGCUCUACUCUCCUCACUGCCCUAUGCUGCUUUGACCCUAAAAGUGAAGCCAGCUUGGCCAGGUGCAGUGACUCACACCUGUAAUCCCAGCACUUUGGGAGGCCGAGGUGGGCAAAUCAAGAAGUCAGGAAAUCGAGACCACCCUGGCCAACAUUGUGAAACACCAUCUCUACUAAAACACAAAAAAAUUAGCCAGGUGUGG
rnacentral:lncRNA from 1 species